GCCUAUAUAGCUUAACGGUAAAGCAAUCGCUUGAAGCGCGGUAUAUACGGGUUCAAGUCCCAUUGUAGGCA
rnacentral:tRNA from 1 species